UAUAUUUUUUUCAUUUUUCUUCCCAUUUUAUCCUCCUCUCCUUACAUCCCCUUUCUUUCAAUUAGGCUUUAUUCAUACCAGCAUCGAUUCAAUUUUCAUUUUAAAUGCAAUUGAAGAUGUGGUGUUCAGGGACCGUCGGACUUCCCUUUCAACAUUGCACUCCUGCAUUCAAUUUCGUUUUACGUUUUCGAUUUCACCCUAUAUAGCCCCUCCGCAACCCUUUACGCAAACAAGGUAUGACAGAUUCUUCAGUUUGUUAUAUUCAGCUUUCGUGGGGUUCCGGUUAGUCGUACAGUCGUCGGAACACUGGUAACCUUGGUGAUCUCUGCAUCCCAUCACAGAGAAACCUUAGGCUUGUUAUGACAAGAAAUACCAGGGAAAUUUGAUGAUGACCGUGAAGAACUGUUGUCAGCUGCAAAUUAUGCUCGUAAUGCUAGCUAUCUAGCAUGUUCAAGCGCUUUUUGGGAAAAACUUGAACCUAUUUUAGCACUCAUUAUAGAGGAAUCCGUUAAUGAAUUUGGUUAAUGAAUUUGAAGAAGGAAAAAUUACCGAAAAUAUACCGCUUCAAGAUACUUUUGGUGAUUCAGCUUAUGAUACAUUUCACCAUGAUGAUUUCAGUGAGCCUAGAAAGAAGGAUAGGAGGGAAGUUGAAAUAGAGCUUCAUGUUGAUCUGGUAACCACAUCGUUUUGCUCAACUAAAGCAUAUAAAAAUAAAACAUAUUUUCAUGGAUUCGUAGGUUCCGUGUCAAUCUGAUAAGUGGUAACACUGAUUCGCUAGCAAGCUUCUUAUAUAUACUUCUUUAAGGGCUUAUCUGAUACGCACUGUGGGUUAUCUUUCAUUCUUUGUUCCAUAGUAUGUACCAACAUGACCUCAUAUUCUAUAGCUCAGAUGUGGGCCGUAUGCAGAAUGUAGGCUUUCUACAAGACCAACUGCUAUAGAAUCUAAAGGUCUAACGUUAGUAUCAGAAGUUGUGAUAAAAAAGGACGAAUAAUGUCAAACGAGACCCAAAACAUAUUAUUAUCUCAUGCUUUCAGCCUGGUAUAACCUUGCUUAUAAAGAAGCUUCAACAUAAAUACACGGUUAGUAAUUUAUAUUUUCGUUAGAGGUGGUCUGGGUUAGUUGUAUAAUGGACCGAGAUAGGUUCGGAUCGAAACGCGUCAGUCCAAGUGGGGUUGAGCUGCAAACAACUUAUUUGAAGUAUUUUUCUGUUUUAUUGUAGAUUCUUUGGGAUAGGUUUAAAAUGGGCCAAAAUGGAUUGGGUUGACUAACGUGUCGAACCUUCUCUCUUGUGUCGCUUCCCUUGUUGGGUAAUGGGUCAACACGGAUUAUGGUUGUCUUUGUUUCGUACCAGCUGGAAUGGGCCAAGUUGACCCUCAAAACACUUUUUCACCCUUAAAGAUAAUAUGUUAUGAAACUUAUUAUUACCAUUUAUA